CCAGCAGCCGCGGUAAUUCCAGCUCCAAUAGCAUAUAUUAACGUUGUUACAGUUAAAAAGCUCGUAGUUGAAAUUCGGCGUUUCGCCUGUCCGGGAAGAGUUGGGAUACCCCCAGGGUUUCUCUUCUAUGAACGGACUUUUACUGUGAACAAAUUAAAGUGCUCAGAGCAGGCUUUUGCUUGAAUAGUCUAGCAUGGAAUAAUAAAAAACGACUUCGUCCAUUUUAUUGGUUAUUGAACGAGGUAAUGAUUAACAGGAACAGUUGGGGGUAUUCGUAUUUGAUAGCUAGAGGUAAAAUUCUAUGAUUUAUCAAGGACGAACUAAUGCGAAAGCAUUUGCCAAGG
rnacentral:rRNA from 1 species